AGAGUUUGAUCAUGGCUCAGAAUCAACGCUGGCGGCGUGCCUAACACAUGCAAGUCGAGCGAGAAAAGGGGGGCAACUCCCUGAGUACAGCGGCGCACGGGUGAGUAACACGUGGGUAAUCUGCCCUGGAGUGGGGAAUAACACCGGGAAACCGGUGCUAAUACCGCAUACGAUCACGGAGUCUGCGGAUUUUGUGAUGAAAGGAGCAAUUCGCUCUAGGAGGAGCCCGCGGCUGAUUAGCUAGUUGGUGAGGUAAUGGCUCACCAAGGCAACGAUCAGUAUCCGGUCUGAGAGGACGGUCGGACACACUGGAACUGAGACACGGUCCAGACUCCUACGGGAGGCAGCAGUGGGGAAUUUUUGGCAAUGGGGGCAACCCUGACCAAGCAACGCCGCGUGGGUGAUGAAGUCUCUUGGGACGUAAAACCCUUUCGACGGGGACGAAACCGCAAGGUUGACGGUACCCGUAGAAGAAGCCCCGGCUAACUCCGUGCCAGCAGCCGCGGUAAUACGGGGGGGGCAAGCGUUGUUCGGAAUUACUGGGCGUAAAGGGCGCGUAGGCGGUGCUCUAAGUCGGAUGUGAAAACUCUGGGCUCAACCCAGAGCCUGCAUCCGAAACUGGAGUGCUAGAGUUCUGGAGGGGGUAGCGGAAUUCCUGGUGUAGCGGUGAAAUGCGUAGAUAUCAGGAGGAACACCGGUGGCGAAGGCGGCUACCUGGACAGAAACUGACGCUGAGGCGCGAAAGCUAGGGGAGCAAACAGGAUUAGAUACCCUAGUAGUCC
rnacentral:rRNA from 1 species